GCCUGCGUGAAGUUGGAAUUGCUAGUAAUCGCGGAUCAGCAUGCCGCGGUGAAUACGUUCCCGGGCCUUGUACACACCGCCCGUCACACCAUGGGAGCCGGUAAUACCCGAGGUCAGUAGUCCAACCUCGUGAGGACGCUGCCGAAGGUAGGAUUGGCGACUGGGGGUGAAGUCGUAACAAGGUAGC
rnacentral:rRNA from 1 species